CGGUAAUUCCAGCUCCAAGGGCGUAUACUAAUGUUGUUGCUGUUAAAAAGCUCGUAGUUGGACUUGGAUCUGUUCUGUGCUAGCCAUCAUUGGAGUCUCUGGAUCCACGUGGUUACUGGCUGCUUUGAUCCGUGUUUGGCACAAUUGGAUUAGAUCUUUUUCACUGGUUGACUCUGUCUGUGUGAUGGCCUCUUCACUGAGUCCAGAUCGAAUGGAGCCUCUUGGUUCGACUCUGGGGCUGCUCGCAGCCCGAGCGUGGUUCGUAAUGCUUCUCACGCAGUGUGCAUUUGCAUAAGGACAGUUGAUCGUGAUACCGAGAACAAAACAGCGUGCUUAAGGCUGGAUCAGUAGAUGACAAAGCUUGCUAUAUCAAUGAACCGACCGGUUAUGUGCGGUUUGCAGGUUUCUGCAUGUAAUAGCGGGGAGUCUGAGCUUGUUGGCGUUGGGAAUGUACCCAUCGGCUCACCUCGGUGACCGUGGGACCACAGACCCAAUCAGCUACUCGUUUCAACGAUAUUAACAGGGACCGAUGGAGCAGUCCGUAUUGUCAGACGAGGGGUGAAAUCCUUAGACUCUGACAAGACGAACAAGGGCGAAAGCACUCUGCUAAGAGGCCUUCAUUAAUCAAGAACGAGAGUGCAGGGAUCGAAGAUGAUCAGAUACCGUCGUAGUCUGCUACUGUAAACGAUGCAAACUAGGGAUCAGUUGAUGGGACAACAUGAUUCUGUUGACUCGGUUGGUACCUCCGCUUCUCUCUUAACGCGAAAGCUGCAAGUCUUCGUGUUCAGGGGGGAGUACAGUUGCAAGGCUGAAACUUAAAGGAAUUGACGGAAUGACACCACAAGGCGUGGAUGCUGCGGCUUAAUUUGACUCAACACAGAGAAUGUUACCAGAUCAUGAGGUUUGGAGGAUUGACAGAUUGACAGUUCUUUCUUGAUUCAGUUAAUGGUGGUGCAUGGCCGCUCCUGGUUGGUGGAGUGAUUUGUCUGGUUGAUUCCGUUAACGAACGAGAUCCCACCCCUUCGAUUUCAGUUAUAUCGUACGUAAUCAUUGGACGCUAGCUCAUGUGGUUCGUCCGUUGGUGAGAUCUAAGAUGUAUGCAAGGGGACUAUGUGUGUUGAUAACACAUUGAAGUCUGGGCCAAUAGCAGGUCUGUGAUGCUCCUAGAUGUUCUGGGCUGCACGCGGCAUACAAUGGUGAAAGCAGUAGGAUUGGUUCGGUCGAGCUCCUGUUUCGAAAGUAUUGGGAAAUCCCCUCAGAUUUGACUGUGGCUGGGAUAGACAAUUGCAACUGUUUGUCUUGAACUAGGAAUGCCUUGUAAGCACAUCUCAUUACAGUGUAUUGAAUGCGUCCCUGCCGUUUGUACACACCGCCCGUCGUUGCAAUCGACUGGUUUGAUCGUAGAGUACUUCUGGAGAAACACCAGCAGGCUCUCUCGAGUCUGAUGAUUGGGUUGAAGUUGAGCAAUACUGUGGAACUAGAGAAUGCAAAAGUCGUAACAAGGUAGCCG
rnacentral:rRNA from 1 species